rnacentral:rRNA from 1 species
ACACUCCUACGGGAGGCAGCAGUGGGGAAUUUUGGACAAUGGGCGAAAGCCUGAUCCAGCAAUGCCGCGUGAGUGAAGAAGGCCUUCGGGUUGUAAAGCUCUUUUGUCAGGGAAGAAACGGUGAAAGCUAAUAUCUUUUGCUAAUGACGGUACCUGAAGAAUAAGCACCGGCUAACUACGUGCCAGCAGCCGCGGUAAUACGUAGGGUGCAAGCGUUAAUCGGAAUUACUGGUCGUAAAGCGUGCGCAGGCGGUUUUGUAAGUCUGAUGUGAAAUCCCCGGGCUCAACCUGGGAAUUGCAUUGGAGACUGCAAGGCUAGAAUCUGGCAGAGGGGGGUAGAAUUCCACGUGUAGCAGUGAAAUGCGUAGAUAUGUGGAGGAACACCGAUGGCGAAGGCAGCCCCCUGGGUCAAGAUUGACGCUCAUGCACGAAAGCGUGGGGAGCAAACAGGAUUAGAAACCCCGGUAGUCCCAUGA